rnacentral:misc_RNA from 1 species
GUGAAGAAGUCAGAAGAGAUUCUGGACACCAUGGACUAGAACCCAUAAAAAGUAUUGGUUUACAGAUUCAGCAUCAAGGGAUGAUUUUCCAGGAAGAGGUAAUGUUACUGAAUGGAAAAAAAACUAUAAACAGAUUUUCAUAUAUUCUGGGGGAACACUAAUCCAUAGCCAUAUACUCUUGUCAAAACCUGCAUAGGGUUUAUACCCGUCUCCUAUUGUCGACUCAUUUUCGCUUGGAUGGUUCUUCUAA